rnacentral:lncRNA from 1 species
GUUAUGUUAUUUUGAUUCUCUUAAGAAUCAAAUGUUUUUGACCCUAGGGUAAAGAGUUAUUACCCAAGAGUAUGAAUCUUGCACUUCAGAAAUCAUAUUUGUAAAUGUAAUGGGUUGUAGUCAGGGGACUUCUGGGGAUACGGUUAGUUCAAGAUAAGAUGUGCCAUAUCAGCUGGCAAUAUAGUGGAAAAAGAAUUUAGAUCAUAUUUCUUCCAAAUCCUACCCCAGAAUAUUUUUUCUGCCAACUAUGACUUAGGUGAAAUUGGUAUGAAAGUACCAUAAUCCGAGGGCUUCUAAACAAAAGAAAUUUAUUUCUCACAGUUCUGGAGGUUAGAAGUCCAAGAUCAGGAUGUCAGCAAGGUCCAGUUCUGCUGAGAGCCUCUUCCAGGUAGCAGACAGCCAACUUCUCAUCUUCUCAUGGUAUCUCACAACGGAGAGCUAAAGAGCUAGGUUUCUUUUAUAAGGGAAACUACUCCCAUUCUCAAGGGCUCAUCCCUGUGAUCUAAUCAUCACUUUGGGGGUUAGGAUUUCAAUAUAUAAAUUUGGGGGAGACACAAACAUUCAGUCCAUAAUAAACUAGCAACAAGCAACAUUUAAUGAAAUAAAACAUCUAGUUUUGAAAUAUUAAUCACAUUUUCACUUCUCCCCACAUUCAUUCCAGGCCAAUCACAGCUGUGCAUUUUGUUAAUCCUGUUUUGAAUUCUUUUUAACAUAAAGAAUCAUUUGAACCAAUUAUACUAAAUGUCAGUGACUGUAUGUGGAAUCAAUACUGAGAGAAGGCAGCUGGCCAGUAGCUAAGGCAGAAGGGAUCCACCCCACUUAAAGAACCAGAAAGAACAAACAUCUUCCUAGCAACCAAGGGAAGUUUUUGUUUUGUUUUGUUUUGUUUUGUUUUGUUGUGUUUACCUCACAAGGUUCAGUGGUUGUAUGUACUCCCUGUAGUAAAAGGCACAGAAUAUAGGCUCAAGCCAUCCUAGCGCUUUGCCCUAGCAACAAACCCUACACGUGGCCAACUGGCCUCUGUGCACACAUGCUGCUGUUUCUGACACAGAAUAAAGACCUUUUGCAAAUUGACCAUGAAC